GGUCCCAGAGGGAGCCCUCCAUUACCAGCAGGGAUCAAGAGUAAUGAACGGAUUGGGCUGUUUGGGUGCGGUGUGAAAUAGUGAAGUUUCUAACAUUGUAAGGCCCAGGAUAUGAAGAAAUUGUCGCUUUCCUGUGGGCACAGAUGACAGAAGGCUGUGCAAAGACUGCGGAUGCCCUGCCUGUUUUCCACGAGCCCCAUAGGUGCUGUAAAACCAAACCCUUAUCGCCAGGCCAUGAAGGGUCCAGGGCUACUUCACCGUGAGCUAAAGUCAGCCUCCUGAGUGGACAGUGGACGACCACCUCCCCGUGUCAGCCCCACCAGUCCAGCUGCUGGGCGAGCAGAGGAAGGAGUGGCAGCCGUAUUCCACCCUACGAGCUGGGCCCAGGUAAAAAUGUGCCGAAGUCAGUUUUGCAGACUCUUCCCCUGGAACCUGAGAUUCCUUACUCCUACUGUUCUCUUCGUUCUUGACCUCUUUCCCAAUAUCACGCACAAUUUCAUGUUCUGAGGCUUGUUAUUCAAAAGUAC
rnacentral:lncRNA from 1 species